GCAUCCACAACCUCCUUGGGCAACCUGUUCCAGUGCGUCACCUUUAAAUUAGAUUAUCACACUACAGGCUGCAAAAGGGUUUGUGAG
ensembl:miRNA